rnacentral:rRNA from 1 species
GACACGGCUGGCGGCGUGCCUAACACAUGCAAGUCGAGCGGAGUCGAUCGACGGAAGCCUUCGGGCGGAAGAUGGUUGACUUAGCGGCGGAUGGGUGAGUAACGCGUGGGCAACCUGCCUCGAAGACCGGGAUAACAGCCCGAAAGGGCUGCUAAUACCGGAUGUGGUCAAGGAUCCGCAUGGAUUUUUGAUUAAAGGGGAAACCCGUUUCGAGAUGGGCCCGCGUCCUAUCAGCUAGUUGGUGAGGUAAAAGCUCACCAAGGCGACGACGGGUAGCCGGCCUGAGAGGGUGACCGGCCACACUGGAACUGAGACACGGUCCAGACUCCUACGGGGGGCAGCAGUGGGGAAUCUUCCACAAUGGGCGAAAGCCUGAUGGAGCGACGCCGCGUGAGCGAAGAAGGCCUUCGGGUUGUAAAGCUCUGUCUGGAGGGACGAAGGAAGUGACGGUACCUCCGGAGGAAGCCACGGCUAACUACGUG